GAUGAACGCUGGCGGCGUUCCUAAUACAUGCAAGUCGAGCGAACGGACGAGAAGCUUGCUUCUCUGAUGUUAGCGGCGGACGGGUGAGUAACACGUGGAUAACCUACCUAUAAGACUGGGAUAACUUCGGGAAACCGGAGCUAAUACCGGAUGAUAUUUUGAACCGCAUGGUUCAAAAGUGAAAGACGGUCUUGCUGUCACUUAUAGAUGGAUCCGCGCUGCAUUAGCUAGUUGGUAAGGUAACGGCUUACCAAGGCAACGAUGCAUAGCCGACCUGAGAGGGUGAGCGGCCACACGGGGACUGAGGCACGGUCCAGGCUCCUGCGGGAGGCAGCAGUAGGGAAGCUUCCGCAAUGGGGGAAAGCCUGACGGAGCAACGCCGCGUGAGUGAUGAAGGUCUUCGGAUCGUAAAACUCUGUUAUUAGGGAAGAACAUAUGUGUAAGUAACUGUGCACAUCUUGACGGUACCUGAUCAGAAAGCCACGGCUAACUACGUG
rnacentral:rRNA from 1 species